AGUGAACGCUGGCGGUAGGCCUAACACAUGCAAGUCGAACGGCAGCACAGUAAGAGCUUGCUCUUACGGGUGGCGAGUGGCGGACGGGUGAGGAAUACAUCGGAAUCUACUUUUUCGGGGGGGAUAACGUAGGGAAACUUACUCUAAUACCGCAUACGACCUACGGGUGAAAGCAUGGGAUCUUCGGACCUUUCGCGAUUGAAUGAGCCGAUGUCGGAUUAGCUAGUUGGCGGGGUAAAGGCCCACCAAGGCGACGAUCCGUAGCUGGUCUGAGAGGAUGAUCAGCCGCACUGGAACUGAGACACGGUCCAGACUCCUACGGGAGGCAGCAGUGGGGAAUAUUGGACAAUGGGCGCAAGCCUGAUCCAGCCAUACCGCGUGGGUGAAGGAGGCCUUCGGGUUGUAAAGCCCGUUUGUUGGGAAAGAAAAGCAGCAGGUUAAUACCCCGCUGUUCUGACGGUACCCAAAGAAUAGGCACCGGCUAACUUCGUG
rnacentral:rRNA from 1 species